rnacentral:rRNA from 1 species
AAUUAAUUUGAAUAAAAUUGAUUUAUGAAUAAUUUAAUAUGAUUUAUUUAUUAUAAUAUAAAUUAUAAGGUGAAAUUUUUAAUUUAUAGGUAAGUUGAGUAAUUUAAUUAGUAAAUUUUUUUUUAAACUAGGAUUAGAUACCCUAUUAUUUAAAGUUUGUUAAUAAUUUAUAAGAAAGUAUUUGUUUAUUAAAAGAAAAUGAUUAAAUUUGGCAGUAUUUUAGGCAAAUUAGAGGAAUCUGUUAAUUAAUAGAUUUAUCACGAUUAUAAAUAUUUUAUUUAUAUUGUUUUUAUAUCAUUGUUAAAAGAAAAUAAAUUAGAUAUUUUAUAAAUUUCUUAAUAUUAUAUAAUAUUAUUUCAAAUCAAGAUUUAAUUAAUAAUAAAAUUUUAAUGGAUUACAUUUUUUUUUAAAAGUGAAUUAGAUGCUUAAGUAUUUAUGAAAGAGGAUUUAAUAGUAAUUUUUUAUUAAUUUAGAAAAUGAGUGGGUUUUAAAGUAUGCACAUAUUGCCCGUCAAUUUUUUUUAAAAAUAAGUCGUAACAAAGUAGAGGUACUGGAAGGUGUCUCUGAUUUA